AUACGGAGGGUGCAAGCGUUGUUCGGAAUUACUGGGCGUAAAGAGCGUGUAGGCGGCUAAGUAAGUCAAAUGUGAAAUCCCUCGGCUUAACCGAGGACGUGCAUCUGAUACUGCUUAGCUUGAGUCUCGGAGAGGGGUGUGGAAUUCCCGGUGUAGAGGUGAAAUUCGUAGAUAUCGGGAGGAACAUCAGUGGCGAAGGCGACACCCUGGACGAUGACUGACGCUGAGACGCGAAAGCGUGGGUAGCAAACAGGAUUAGAUACCCUGGUAGUCCACGCCGUAAACGGUGUCAACUAGGUGUUGUGGGUAUUGACCCCCGCAGUGCCGAAGCUAACGCAUUAAGUUGACCGCCUGGGGAGUACGGCCGCAAGGUUAAA
rnacentral:rRNA from 1 species